AUUACUGCUCAGUAACACGUGUGCAACCUACCCUUAACCGGGACAUAACACUGAGAAAUUAGUGCUAAUAUUCCAUGGUAUUACGAAGAGGCAUCUUUUUGUAAUUAAAGAUUUAUUGGUUAGGGAUGGGCAUGCGUCCCAUUAGUUAGUUGGAGUGGUAACGGCACACCAAGACGAUGAUGGGUAGGGGUCCUGAGAGGGUUAUCCCCCACACUGGUACUGAGACACGGACCAGACUCCUACGGGAGGCAGCAGUAAGGAAUAUUGGGCAAUGGGCGGGAGCCUGACCCAGCCAUGCCGCGUGCAGGAAGACGGCCCUAUGGGUUGUAAACUGCUUUUGUUUGGGACUAACAGCCGGGUCGUGACCCGGCCUGCAGGUACCGAAUGAAUAAGCAUCGGCUAACUCCGUGCCAGCAGCCGCGGUAAUAAUC
rnacentral:rRNA from 1 species